CAGUCGCCGCGGUAACACGAAGGGGGCUAGCGUUGUUCGGAAUUACUGGGCGUAAAGGGCGCGUAGGCGGCCAUUCAAGUUAGAUGUGAAAGCCCUGGGCUCAACCUAGGAAUUGCAUUUGAUACUGUUUGGCUUGAGUUCGGGAGAGGUGAGUGGAAUUCCCAGUGUAGAGGUGAAAUUCGUAGAUAUUGGGGAGAACACCAGUGGCGAAGGCGGCUCACUGGACCGACACUGACGCUGAGGCGCGAAAGCGUGGGGAGCAAACAGGAUUAGAUACCCCGGUAGUCCCUGUCUCUUAUAC
rnacentral:rRNA from 1 species